GAUGAACGCUAGCUACAGGCUUAACACAUGCAAGUCGAGGGGCAGCAUUAGGUAGCAAUACUGAGAUGGCGACCGGCGCACGGGUGCGUAACGCGUAUCCAACCUUCCCGAUACUCAGGGAUAGCCUUCCGAAAGGGAGAUUAAUACCUGAUGGUGUUUGAAUUCCGCAUGUUAUUCAAACUAAAGAUUUAUCGGUAUCGGAUGGGGAUGCGUGACAUUAGAUAGUAGGCGGGGUAACGGCCCACCUAGUCUACGAUGUCUAGGGGUUCUGAGAGGAAGGUCCCCCACACUGGAACUGAGACACGGUCCAGACUCCUACGGGAGGCAGCAGUGAGGAAUAUUGGUCAAUGGUCGGAAGACUGAACCAGCCAAGUAGCGUGAAGGAUGAAGGUUCUAUGGAUUGUAAACUUCUUUUAUACGGGAAUAAAAACCUCCCACGUGUGGGAGCUUGUAUGUACCGUAUGAAUAAGCAUCGGCUAAACUCCGUG
rnacentral:rRNA from 1 species